GACGAACGCUGGCGGCGUGCUUAAUACAUGCAAGUCGAACGAGGCUGAUCCAGUAGCAAUACUGGUGACUGUCAAGUGGCGAACGGGUGAGUAACACGUGAGCAACCUGCCCCGAAGACCGGGACAACAGUGGGAAACCGCUGCUAAUACCGGAUACCCCCACUGGAUCACAUGGUCUGGUGAGGAAAUGGAUUCCGCUUCGGGAGGGGCUCGCGGCCUAUCAGCUUGUUGGUGGGGUAACGGCCUACCAAGGCUUCGACGGGUAGCUGGUCUGAGA
rnacentral:rRNA from 1 species